rnacentral:sRNA from 1 species
GAGGGAGAGAGACUGAGAGACAUCCAGAGAGGAAGCGACGGGAGUCGAAUGGCUCCUCAGCAAGCCAUGCAAAUGCCUUCGGGCACCGAUGGCCGCAGCUGUUUCCUGUUUGUGUCUGGUUUGUUAUUAAUAGCGAAAUCUCUAAACCUUGACCCGUGCGCUCAUUCCUCUCACCCAGCGGCCAGCAGCUCAUCAGAGCUCAGGUCCACAGAGGUCGCCAAAGGGUCUACCGCCCUUCGCCCACAUCACCGUGACUGUGCGCGCCUGUGUGAGAACUGGGGACCGAACACAGGGCCUUGCCCUUCCUAGGCCUCGUUCUAUCCUGUACCUGCCUUCGCCUGCAUAAUGACGUCAACCUACAGUGUACCAUCAAACUGGUCUUACGGCCACCAGUUUUUGACAAAGGUCUCAGAAACUUUUAUUGGAGGAAAAUCACUUCUUCGACACAAUGGUGAGGAAACUGGAUUCCCAAGCUGAGAAGAAUGGAGGUGGAGAGAUGGAUUCAUUCUCUAAGUUUUGUUCCGUCAGAGGAUCCUAUUAAUGUGUUACUAGUUGACUUGGUAUCUUUGUCAAAGCUCAACUUGCAGCAUUUGUGUUUCUCUCCCUCCCUCUCCCCCUCCCCCCUCCUCUCCCUCU